rnacentral:rRNA from 1 species
GGGUUGUGAGGUUAAGCGACUAAGCGUACACGGUGGAUGCCCUGGCAGUCAGAGGCGAUGAAGGACGUGCUAAUCUGCGAAAAGCGUCGGUAAGGUGAUAUGAACCGUUAUAACCGGCGAUGUCCGAAUGGGGAAACCCAGUGCAAUUCGUUGCACUAUCGUUAACUGAAUACAUAGGUUAACGAGGCGAACCGGGGGAACUGAAACAUCUAAGUACCCCGAGGAAAAGAAAUCAACCGAGAUUCCCCCAGUAGCGGCGAGCGAACGGGGAGCAGCCCAGAGUCUGAAUCAGCUUGUGUGUUAGUGGAACGGUCUGGAAAGUCCGACGGUACAGGGUGAUAGUCCCGUACACCAAAAUGCACAGGCUGUGAACUCGAAGAGUAGGGCGGGACACGUGGUAUCCUGUCUGAAUAUGGGGGACCAUCCUCCAAGGCUAAAUACUCCUGACUGACCGAUAGUGAACCAGUACCGUGAGGGAAAGGCGAAAAGAACCCCGGCGAGGGGAGUGAAAAAGAACCUGAAACCGUGUACGUACAAGCAGUGGGAGCACCUUCGGGUGUGACUGCGUACCUUUUGUAUAAUGGGUCAGCGACUUAUAUUCUGUAGCAAGGUUAACCGUAUAGGGGAGCCGCAGGGAAACCGAGUCUUAACUGGGCGUUAAGUUGCAGGGUAUAGACCCGAAACCCGGUGAUCUAGCCAUGGGCAGGUUGAAGGUUGGGUAACACUAACUGGAGGACCGAACCGACUAAUGUUGAAAAAUUAGCGGAUGACUUGUGGCUGGGGGUGAAAGGCCAAUCAAACCGGGAGAUAGCUGGUUCUCCCCGAAAGCUAUUUAGGUAGCGCCUCGUGAAUUCAUCUUCGGGGUAGAGCACUGUUUCGGCUAGGGGGUCAUCCCGACUUACCAACCCGAUGCAAACUACGAAUACCGAAGAAUGUUAUCACGGGAGACACACGGCGGGUGCUAACGUCCGUCGUGAAGAGGGAAACAACCCAGACCGCCAGCUAAGGUCCCAAAGUCAUGGUUAAGUGGGAAACGAUGUGGGAAGGCACAGACAGCCAGGAUGUUGGCUUAGAAGCAGCCAUCAUUUAAAGAAAGCGUAAUAGCUCACUGGUCGAGUCGGCCUGCGCGGAAGAUGUAACGGGGCUAAACCAUGCACCGAAGCUGCGGCAGCGACACUAUGUGUUGUUGGGUAGGGGAGCGUUCUGUAAGCCUGCGAAGGUGACCUGUGAGGGUUGCUGGAGGUAUCAGAAGUGCGAAUGCUGACAUAAGUAACGAUAAAGCGGGUGAAAAGCCCGCUCGCCGGAAGACCAAGGGUUCCUGUCCAACGUUAAUCGGGCAGGGUGAGUCGACCCCUAAGGCGAGGCCGAAAGGCGUAGUCGAUGGGAAACAGGUUAAUAUUCCUGUACUUGGUGUUACUGCGAAGGGGGGACGGAGAAGGCUAUGUUAGCCGGGCGACGGUUGUCCCGGUUUAAGCAUGUAGGCUGAUUGUCCAGGCAAAUCCGGAUAAUCAAGGCUGAGGUGUGAUGACGAGGCACUACGGUGCUGAAGUAACAAAUGCCCUGCUUCCAGGAAAAGCCUCUAAGCAUCAGGUAACAUUAAAUCGUACCCCAAACCGACACAGGUGGUCAGGUAGAGAAUACCAAGGCGCUUGAGAGAACUCGGGUGAAGGAACUAGGCAAAAUGGUGCCGUAACUUCGGGAGAAGGCACGCUGGUGUGUAGGUGAAGUCCCUGCGGAUGGAGCUGAGACCAGUCGAAGAUACCAGCUGGCUGCAACUGUUUAUUAAAAACACAGCACUGUGCAAACACGAAAGUGGACGUAUACGGUGUGACGCCUGCCCGGUGCCGGAAGGUUAAUUGAUGGGGUUAUCCGUAAGGAGAAGCUCUUGAUCGAAGCCCCGGUAAACGGCGGCCGUAACUAUAACGGUCCUAAGGUAGCGAAAUUCCUUGUCGGGUAAGUUCCGACCUGCACGAAUGGCGUAAUGAUGGCCAGGCUGUCUCCACCCGAGACUCAGUGAAAUUGAACUCGCUGUGAAGAUGCAGUGUACCCGCGGCAAGACGGAAAGACCCCGUGAACCUUUACUAUAGCUUGACACUGAACAUUGAGCCUUGAUGUGUAGGAUAGGUGGGAGGCUUUGAAGCGUGGACGCCAGUCUGCGUGGAGCCAACCUUGAAAUACCACCCUUUAAUGUUUGAUGUUCUAACGUUGGCCCCUUACCGGGGUUGCGGACAGUGUCUGGUGGGUAGUUUGACUGGGGCGGUCUCCUCCCAAAGCGUAACGGAGGAGCACGAAGGUUAGCUAAUCCUGGUCGGACAUCAGGAGGUUAGUGCAAUGGCAUAAGCUAGCUUGACUGCGAGCGUGACGGCGCGAGCAGGUGCGAAAGCAGGUCAUAGUGAUCCGGUGGUUCUGAAUGGAAGGGCCAUCGCUCAACGGAUAAAAGGUACUCCGGGGAUAACAGGCUGAUACCGCCCAAGAGUUCAUAUCGACGGCGGUGUUUGGCACCUCGAUGUCGGCUCAUCACAUCCUGGGGCUGAAGUAGGUCCCAAGGGUAUGGCUGUUCGCCAUUUAAAGUGGUACGCGAGCUGGGUUUAGAACGUCGUGAGACAGUUCGGUCCCUAUCUGCCGUGGGCGCUGGAGAAUUGAGGGGGGCUGCUCCUAGUACGAGAGGACCGGAGUGGACGCAUCACUGGUGUUCGGGUUGUCAUGCCAAUGGCACUGCCCGGUAGCUAAAUGCGGAAGAGAUAAGUGCUGAAAGCAUCUAAGCACGAAACUUGCCCCGAGAUGAGUUCUCCCUGAGACUUUAAGUCUCCUGAAGGAACGUUAAAGACGAUGACGUUGAUAGGCCGGGUGUGUAAGCGCAGCGAUGCGUUGAGCUAACCGGUACUAAUGAACCGUGAGGCUUAACCUUACAACGCCGAAG